GACAGAGGGGGCAAGCGUUGCUCGGAAUUACUGGGCGUAAAGGGCGCGUAGGCGGGAUGGCAAGUCGGUCGUGAAAUCCCUCGGCUCAACCGAGGAACGUCGAUCGAUACUGCUGUUCUUGAGGAUUGCAGAGGAGACUGGAAUUCCCGGUGUAGCGGUGAAAUGUGUAGAGAUCGGGAGGAACACCGGUGGCGAAGGCGAGUCUCUGGGCAAUUCCUGACGCUGAGGCGCGAAAGCGUGGGGAGCAAACGGG
rnacentral:rRNA from 1 species